CCUGCGGCAAGUCGAAGAAACACCUGGCCCUGAGACUAGGCAGGGAGCAGAGCCCAGAGGAGCCGAGGGGCAGUGCUCAUGGUUCUUGGAGGGAUGACCAGGCAUCCUGAGGUCCUGGUGAUAGGUGACUGUAUUCCUGAUGAGUGAGUUGCUAAUAGAACAUGCCAAGAAAUAAUAAGCUAAUCCAUGCUACUGCCAGCAUAGAAAGCUGGUGGGCUUUUAAUUACCUGUGUUCACAGAACAAAAGGAAGCUACAGUGUGUUUGAAUUCCUUGAAUCCAUUCUGUCAGAGUGUGGGGAAAGGAGCUGAAAAUAUUCUAACCAGCAGGGAAGGAUGCACCAAAAUCCAUGCCAACUAAUGGACAAAGGAGGGAGGCAAUGGAAAGCCUGACUCUGUUGGAAGAUGUGAAAGGACUGUGUCAGCAUCUGUGCCAACCAGCAUGACUGGCUCCCUAGGUGUCAGUGAUUAACCUAAAGCCACAGCCUAUUUGCAGAGACAAGCCUCCCUGGGCUCAUUUUUGCCAACUUGAAUAUAACCUAGUCCUUCUUCUUCUUCCACUCUUCUUCCUGACCUGGCCUCCUUUUUAUCUUAAUUUCCUGCCUUUCCCUCUGUCUUGUUCUCAGGGUCUUAUAACCUUCUGUUCAAUGCUCAGUGCUCCUCACCUCUAUCUUUCUCUAGAGGUAAAAUUGGGACCACUUUCUCAUCAAGAUCAAUCCCAUUAUCAUCAAGCAUAUAGAACCAGCCCGUCUUCAGCACAACCACAAAUUAAGUGAAGGUAGUCUUCAUAUUCUUACUAUCCCCCAACCCCAUUGAAACUCAAGCCUCCCUUCUCCCAACCCCACACCAAAGAGUCAUUUUCCCAUCCAGUCCCAUAGCUUUCAAGAGCUUCUAUACACUGAUGACUCUGAGAUUUAUAUCUUAUUUUAUUGUUUUGUAGAGAUAGGGUCUUAGUCUAUGGCCCAGGAUGGAGUGCAGUGAUGUAAUCAUAGCUUACUUCAGACUCAUAUUCCUGGACUCAAGAGAUCCUCCCGCCUCAGGCUUCCAAGUAGCUAGAACUACAGGUGUGUGGACCAUGCCCAGCUACUUCAAAUUUUUUUUUAAAGACAGGGUCUUGCUAUGUUGGCCAGGCUGGUCUCAAACUCCUAACCUCAAGCCAUUUUCCCACUUUAGCCUCCCAAAGCGCUGGGAUUACAAGCAUGAACCACCAUGUCUGGCCUGAAAUUUACAUUUUUAAUUGCAACUUGUCCCCUUACUUCCAGGCUUGUAUAUCUGAGUGAUUAGGAUCUCCCCUUGGCAGUCUAACAAUGAUUUUAACCUAUCUACAACCAAACCUCUAACUCUCAUCCAUUCUUCUCCUCCCACGGUCCUCUCCACCUUAGUUGUGGGACCACUAAUCACCCAGUCUCAAUCAUCCUUGAUCAUUUUCCAUCUCUCACUCCCAGAGCUAAUUCUUUGGGAAGUCCUGAGAGUUCAACCUUCACCAUAUAUUCUGAACUGGAACCCACAUCAUCCCCUUCAUUACUGCCCUGGUCCAAGCCACCAUUGUCUCCCUCCUGGAUAAUUUCAGCACCCUCCAAAUUGGUCUUCUGGCUUUUCUUACUGCCUUUCACCAUGUUCACUGUCUCUACAGAGGCCAAAAUGAACCUUUGAAAAUUGACAUAAGCUCAUAUCACUCAUCUGCUUAAGCCUCUCUUAAAGCUCACCAUCCCUCCACCAUUUAGCUAUUUUACUGUGGCCUUCAAGGUCCUAAACAACCUUGUCCCAGGCUACCUCUUCAACCACACUAACAUUCUUUCUGCUCACAAUACUUUUGGGUAUUCCUAACGUAUCUACAAGCAAACCUAACUCUCCUCCACUCUUCUCCUCCUAUGGUGCUCCCCAGCACCAACCUCCUUCCCACCUCCUUUGAACUUGCUGCUGGUUCAUUCUUCACUCAAAGGAUGCAGAGAAAGGGGAACUCAUAUACUGUUGGUAGGAAUGUAAAUUAGUACAGGCACUAUGGAGAACAGUAUGGACAUUCCGCAAAAAACUAAAAAUAGAACUACCACAUGACCUAGCAGUCCCACUUCUGGGUAUAUGCCCAAAGGAAAGGAAAUCAGUAUGUCAAAGGGAUAUCUGGACUCCCCUAUCUAUUGCAGCAGUAUUCACAAUAGUCAAGAUAAUAGAAUCUACUUAGCUGUCCAUCAACAGAUGAAGAAAAUGUGGUUUAUAUACACAGUGGAAUACUAUUUAGGCAUAAAACGAACACAAUUCUAUCAUUCACAGAAGCAUGGAUGAGCUCAAAGGACACUAUGUUAAGUGAAAUAAGCCAAGCACAGAAAAAUAAAUACCCC
rnacentral:lncRNA from 10 species